GUUGCUGUUCAUGCUGCUGUUUUAGCAUCAUUACAUAUGCUACUAUUUUAAACUAACUGGUAAUGUUGCUCAGGUUAUACUGAUGAUGAUUACGAUGUUGGUGGUUCUAUUGAUGAUGAUUAUGAUGUUGGUGGUUCUAUUGAUGAUGAUUAUGAUGUUGGUGGUUCUAUUGAUAAUGAUUAUGAUGGUGGUGGUGGUGGUGGUAAUUAUGAUGAUUGUGGUGGUGGUGAUUAUGAUGAUUGUGGUGGUGGUGGUUGAUUUUGACAAUUGUGUUGUUGUUGGUAGUUCAUUGUGGUGUUGGUGAAUAUGAUUGUGGUGGUAUUGGUGAUUAUGAUGAUUGUGGUGGUGGUGAUAGUGAUCAUGAUGAUUGUGGUGGUGGUGACAACAACAACAACAUGUUGUUAUUGAUGAUGAUGAUGAUGAUGAUGAUGGUGGUGGUGGUGGUGGUGGUGGUGGUGGUGGUGGUGGUGAUGAUGAUGAUGAUGAUGAUGAUGAUGAUGAUGAUGAUGAUGAUGAUGAUGAUGAUGAUGACAACAACAACAAUGUGAUGGUGAUUAUCAUGAUCAUGAUAAUGAUGAGUUAAACUAAGUUUUCUGUGUACAUGUGCUCUGUUGCUAUUUCCCCAAAGGUACAGGGAUGCAUUAAUGUUUGAUUUAAACUCGGAAUGACCUCUCUGCUGGAAAAUCUCCUCAAAAUAUUUGAAUCUUCUGACAGUUACUAGCAUUAAUUUUGUGGAACUUUGAAUAGUGAGAAAAAAAUUUGUGCAGUUUUGUUUAAUAAAAUGGAUUGAUUAUAAGGUAACUGUGUUUUUUUAUCAUAGUAACAUCCAAAAAAGAUCAUGACUUAUCAUUUUAUUUUAUUUUUACACAUAUUAGGCUCUUUGUCUUUGUUUAAAGUUUGACUAAGAGAUAAGCUUUAUGCAUGUACUGUCAAGUAUGUUUCACUUUAUUCCAAAAUAAUUGACAAAUACUCAGUCAAGCAAUGUACUAAGUUUAAAAAUUAUCAUUCAAUUUGUACAAUAAAGUUGAAGAUGUAUAAAGAAAUGUUAUACACAUUUUUUCCAGACAAAACCCCCCCAUAAGGAUGACAAUGUACUUGGACAAGAUUCUAAGACCUUUUUGAAAGAAAUAUGAAUAGGGGACUUCUAUAGCAGAAGAAGUAUAGCCAAACUUGCAGAAAACAACAACCGAAUGACUGCAUCACUAAAGAAAAGAAACAGGAUUUCUCCAAAUGUAGAAAUGCAGACAGCUCUUCACCAUCAACUGUGAUCCUUUGUAAUUUUGUGUACAUAUGAAACUAAAUGACUUCAAAGAAAUGUUUUUUGUUGUUCUUAGGUUGUUGUAUGCAUACUUCAUAAAUCCCAUGAUUUUAUUUCCACCAAGUGCCACGUAAUUUCCACCAACUGCCACAUUGGCAUGGCAUUUGGUGAAAAAAGAUCAAAGAAACUGAACGUGGCAUUU